rnacentral:misc_RNA from 1 species
UAAUGGCACUUGUAACUCAUAUAGGUGCAAAGUUCUCAUCGAUAGAAACGAAUUAAGUUCAAACAGCAGGUAAUUGCUAUAAAUCGUUAAAGAGUUCCCUCGACUAACUUUUGUCUCCAUCAUCAGACUGUAAUGGCACUUAUAACUCAUACAGGUGCAAAGUUCUCAUCAAUAGAAACGAAUUAAGUUCAAACAGCAGGUAAUUGCUACAAAUUGUUGAAGAGUUCCCUCGACUAUCUUUCUUCUCCAUCAUCAGAUCGACUUCAGACCUUUAUUAAAUAGUAGUGCUUUAUAGUACUUAAUGAAAACAUGAUGAAAUUUCA